rnacentral:lncRNA from 1 species
UGGGAGUAGUGAGGUGACUCAGCCUUCCUAGUAGCUUCCUGAGGGGCAGCAAGAUCUCAAAGAAAAUUCAUGGGUGUUUCCAGGGAGGGAGACCACAAGGGGCUGGGUUGGUCAUUAAUUUUCCAUGGGACUAUGUGGACAGUACCAGUGUCCAUCUGGACUGUGCCAUGUGUAGAAAAAACAUCAGUUGCCCAACUUAAUGGUUCAUGCUUAUAAGUCUAGCUAUUUGGGAGGCUGAGGCAGGAGGACUGAAAGUUCAUGGUCAGCCUGGAUAAUUCAGUGAGAUCCUGUCUAAAAAUUAAAUAAAAAGGGUUGGGGGUAUAGCUCAGUGGUAGAGAGCCCCACUAGGGCCCAUAUUCCCUCUCCUAUAUACCAGAUACACCUCUCCUGGUAUCCAUAGGGCUCCAGAACUCUGGGCUAAAUGAAAGCAACAAAUACAACUGAGGGUAAAUUUUCAGUCCAUUAGGAUUGAGGUUGGGAGCUACAAUUAAAAUGAGGAAUAUAACAUAAAGAAGUGAGGUAUUUCUUAUACACUGGAGUCUAUUGACCAAGAUUUCUGUUAUAAAUACAUUCACUAAUUCAUUCAUCCAAAAAAUUCCUGAGCAUUUUGUGUCAAGUCUCAUGGAACUUAGAACUUGAAAAUACAAUUGUAAACAAAAUCUCUGCUGUGAAACUCACCACCUGAUACACUGGAUUUGACAUUUAAUUAGAAAUUUUGAAAUAGAGUAUGUAUGUUAGCACGAUAUACUGUUUUUAAGUUCUACAUCUAUAUUCAAGUAAUUUAUUACUAACAAAUAGUUAGGUAUUAUGUAAUUAUCAUUUCUAGAACUAAGUACAAGUAACAAUGGAAGAGGAUUUUCUCUAAAGUAAGCUGGCUUCACAGCUGUCAGCACAAGCCAUUUCUAGCUAAUAGAAAUCCAAAGGAAACAUAAACAUUUAGAUGUAAUAGGAUUAUACCUGGGUGUAGGCAUUAAGAAUAUUUAUCUCCACCAGUAACUCUCAGAUUCAAAGGGCUAACCACAGAAAAUAUUCCCUUGUCUUAUAUUUUAGUUGUGUCAAAAACAAACAGAAUUUUUGUUACAUGCUAUCACUUAAAAAAAAAUGGACAAAUGUUGCUAAUAAUAUGAAUCCUGCUCAGAAAAGGUCUGGUUUUACUCCUUUCAAAUAAUAAAACAGUAAAAAUGUAAAUAAGACAAAUAAUUAAUUAUACUAAGUGUAAUGCAAUAACAAUUUAGAGUGUAAUUCUAAUACUUUCUUUAUCCAAGUGUCAAGGUUACUAUAAUUCAUUAGAGGAGAAUCCCUCAGAGGAUAGAAGGAAGAGAAAAGGAGAGGGAGAAAUAUGCGAAUAAAUAUGGUCAGCUUAAAAUAGAGUUAAUAUGAUUCUGCAUCUAAAUUUACUAACUUUGACAGCUAUUUGAUGAAGAACUCCAAUAAUUAUGAGUAUUUGGCAACAAGAAUUGCAGACUGCUUUGUAUGAGUUUAAUAUUUAAUUUUAAUUUUCAAACAGAAUGUCUUUGUGUGUUCUUGAGGGUAUUGUACUGGCUCAUCUCUUUAUUAGAACCAUUUUAGAGCGAGAGCUGGAAUUUUUCAUAUUUAUUUUUGUUUGUUUGCAUGGUGAAUUUGAUUGUGCU